UUUCAUUUUCCAAAUAUUAUUUUAUCUGUAUACAAAAUACUAAUAUUUACAAAUCACCUUCUUUUUCUUCGUUGCCCUAAUGCAGGUCAUUCGGGUUUUUUGACGCAACCACUAUUACCCUCCGUCUAUCUCUAUCAGCAGAAAUUUCUUCACCAUUGUAUAUUCUCAGAAAGUUUAAGUCCUGCUGUACUCUGUCCAUCCAUCUCUGUCUUGAGGAGCGUUUUAAUGGUCUCCUAUAUUUGUCGAGUCCCAUUUGAUCACCUAUAUAUCUGCGCCUAUACUAUUAUCAUAAAACAAAUUCAACAACUUAAUCUUUACGAAAAACCCUGACGAUUUAUUUGUCUAUAUCGCCCAACUCCAUCAGCACGUAAGCUUCUUACGGUAAAAUUACAAAAUGUAUUAUAUUCAUCGGCCCGUUCUUAAAAGCUUAAAUACAUUUAUGUUUUUCUCGUGACCCAU